CCUGCCAGUAGUCAUAUGCUUGUCUCAAAGAUUAAGCCAUGCACGUCUAAGAUCGCUAGGGGUGGGCAACCACUUACGAGUAAUCUGCGAAAGGCUCAUUAUAACAGUUACAAACUUGGCUACUAGUUUCCCCACAAGGAUAACACAGCCAAAUGCAGCGAUAAUACUUGAACAAACGUUGGUGAAUUGUAUAGCCAACAAACAGUAGCAACAAAGGAAUGUCUGCUACAUAUCCCCGCAAGGGGUGUUGACCAUAGUAAUGUGGCCUAGAAGAGGUAUUUCUUCCUUAUCAGUUAGUUGUUUCAGUAAGGGUGAAACAAGACUAUUACGGGUACGGGGAAUCAGUGUUCGAUUCCGGAGAGGGAGCCUGAGAAAUGGCUACUACAUCUAAGGAUGGCAGCAGGCGCGAAAAUUACCCAAUCCUAACAUUUUUGGGAGGUAGUGACAAGAAAUAACGACCUUACACGUGACAUAAGUCUGUGGAAGGGUUUCUUUGCAAUGGUUCUAGUUUAAAUCUCUAGGAGAGUAGCGAUUGGAGGACAAGUCUGGUGCCAGCACCCGCGGUAAUUCCAGCUCCAAAAGCAUAUACUAAAAUUGCUGUAGUUAAAACGCUCGUAGUUUAUAAGUAGGACGGCAGCUGAGUCGUGCUAAAUCUCUCGGAGCUUUAGUGUAGCUUAGUUGUAUUUUCGUACACGCUGUAUCCCUACCCUUAGCCUGUACCUUUUAUGGUCUGGCUCGAGGGAGAUUAACUCGUGAGUGUUCCGACUAUUGAAACCGUGAACAAAUUAAUGUGUUUAAAGCAAGCUUAUGCUUGGCAACAAGUAUCGCUUGAAUAAUUUAGCAUGGAACCCCUUUUUAUGAGAAAAUAAAAGGUCGGCGGAGGACUCUGGUAUUGUGUGCUUAGAGGUGAAAUUCCGAAAUUUACGCAAGACGAUCGGAGGCGUAGGCUGUCAUUGCCCAUCACACCUUUAUUGAUCAGGAACGAAAGUCAGGG
rnacentral:rRNA from 1 species